rnacentral:rRNA from 1 species
GACGGGGACCCGCACAAGCGGCGAGCAUGCGGAUUAAUUCGAUGCAACGCGAAGAACCUUACCAAGGCUUGACCUACACCGGUAACGCCCAGAGAUGGGUGCCCCUUUGUGGUCGGUGUACAGGUGGUGCAUGGUUGUCGUCAGCUCGUGUCGUGAGAUGUUGGGUUAAGUCCCGCAACGAGCGCAACCCUCGUCCUAUGUUGCCAGCGGGUCAUGCCGGGGACUCAUGGGAGACUGCCGGGGUCAACUCGGAGGAAGUGGGAUGACGUCAAAUCAUCAUGCCCCUUAUGUCUUGGGCUUCACGCAUGCUACAAUGGCCGGUACAAAGGGCUGCGAUACCGCGAGGUGGAGCGAAUCCCAGAAAGCCGGUCUCAGUUCGGAUUGGGGUCUGCAACUCGACCCCAUGAAGUCGGAGUCGCUAGUAAUCGCAGAUCAGCAACGCUGCGGUGAAUACGUUCCCGGGCCUU